rnacentral:rRNA from 1 species
CGAGUGAAGCGGCAAAAGCUCAAAUUUGAAAUCUGGCGCCUUCGGUGUCCGAGUUGUAAUUUGAAGAUUGUAACCUUGGGGUUGGCUCUUGUCUAUGUUUCUUGGAACAGGACGUCACAGAGGGUGAGAAUCCCGUGCGAUGAGAUGCCCAAUUCUAUGUAAGGUGCUUUCGAAGAGUCGAGUUGUUUGGGAAUGCAGCUCUAAGUGGGUGGUAAAUUCCAUCUAAAGCUAAAUAUUGGCGAGAGACCGAUAGCGAACAAGUACAGUGAUGGAAAGAUGAAAAGAACUUUGAAAAGAGAGUGAAAAAGUACGUGAAAUUGUUGAAAGGGAAGGGUUUGAGAUCAGACUCGAUAUUUUGUGAGCCUUGCCUUCGUGGCGGGGUGACCCGCAGCUUAUCGGGCCAGCAUCGGUUUGGGCGGUAGGAUAAUGGCGUAGGAAUGUGACUUUACUUCGGUGAAGUGUUAUAGCCUGCGUUGAUGCUGCCUGCCUAGACCGAGGACUGCGAUUUUAUCAAGGAUGCUGGCAUAAUGAUCCCAAACCGCCCGUCUUG